rnacentral:rRNA from 1 species
UACGGGGGGAGCAAGCGUUGUUCGGAUUUACUGGGCGUAAAGGGCGCGUAGGCGGCCUCCGCAAGUCAAUUGUGAAAUCUCCGGGCUUAACUCGGAAAGGUCAACUGAUACUGCGGGGCUAGAGUGCGGAAGGGGCAACUGGAAUUCUUGGUGUAGCGGUGAAAUGCGUAGAUAUCGGAAGGAACAUCAGUGGCGAAAGCGGCUUCCUGGACCAGCACCGACGUUCAGGCACGAAAGCGUGGGGAGCAAACAGG